rnacentral:rRNA from 1 species
GACGUAGGGCGCGAGCGUUGUCCGGAUUUAUUGGGCGUAAAGAGCUCGUAGGCGGUUCGGUAAGUCGGGUGUGAAACCUCCAGGCUCAACCUGGAGACGCCACCCGAUACUGCUGUGACUAGAGUCCGGUAGGGGAGCGUGGAAUUCCUGGUGUAGCGGUGAAAUGCGCAGAUAUCAGGAGGAACACCGGUGGCGAAGGCGGUUCUCUGGGCCUUACCUGACGCUGAGGAGCGAAAGCGUGGGGAGCAAACAGG